rnacentral:lncRNA from 1 species
GGCAGACACACAGGCGGCUGGAUGUCAAGAGGAGCACAACAGAGGAGGAACACAGAGGUGGCUAGACACAGAGAGUAACACACUGACGGCUGGACAUACGGAGUAAAACACCGACAGGCACGGGCACCCUGGCAGGCCACCGACCAUUAGAAAUAGAAUGACAUGGAGUUUAGCUGGGGCAGUCAGAGGAGAGCCCAGGCUGCUGAACGGCUCGACUCUAGGGGAAACCCUUCCCACUCCACCCCUUCUGACUUUCCGAGAGCUGCUUCCACCCAAUAAAACCUUGCAAUCAUUCUCCAAGCCCAGGUGUGAUCAGAUUCUUUCGGUACAUCAAGGAUCUCUCCCUGUGGUGCCUAGGUUGGUUUAAAACUCUUGGCCUCAAGCGAUCCUCCCACCUUGAAUUCCCAAAGCAAGGUGCUAUUAGUAAUUGGCUCAGAGAACUCGCCAUUAGGGGCAGUGCAUCACUUAACAAUGGCUGGGCGUGAAAGAGAGCCCUGCUCUACUGACCCUUCAAUGUGCCCGUGUGCCUAAAUAUUCCUGGUCGUGUGAAAAGAACCCAGGUAUUAGCUGAACUAAGGAGCACAAUUCUGCAACAUUUUGGCACCCAAACACGGGGCUUGAGAAAUGAAUGCAAUUGGAGAAACUGGUUGUUUUACCAGGCGUUGAUUGGAAAUGUGUGCUUCCCUUUAAGCAGUCAAGCUCAACUUGCAGAACUGAUGGGAACCCCUUGGGAAAACUGGCCUCAAAUGUUUGUCUACACAGUCCACAUACAGGGUUCUUAACCUGCGGUGAGUAAAGAAUGUCACUUUC